GCACUACUGAGGAGUCCCAUAAUAUGACGAAACGGCUGUCCAGUGC
rnacentral:hammerhead_ribozyme from 1 species